UUUCACGUGUCUGCACAUCAUGAGUGGGGUGGGACUGAUGUCACUCCUCCACCUCCUACCCAGUCUUUUCCUUUGACCUCCUCUUUCUCUGUCCAUGACCCCUCUCCAUCACAGCUUCUCUAACUGCAACUAUUUGUACCUACACUUUCUCACUCAAUGGCAUGGAAAUGAGACUCCUGCUACUGUCCACAGCCUCCUGAACUGCUCUGAUGGCUCUCGCUGUCACUGCACUGCUGCUCACAGGUAGGAAAUGUACCAUGGUCAGACUGCAAACAGAAAAACUGCUCCCACCUGGAACCACACGCCUAACACGGAAUGUAAAUCGGCAGAAACCUGCUGCUGGCAGGAGCUGCUGAUUUCCAGCUGUGUGUAAUUCCUCUGCUUUGCUGCCUGUGUGUGUUCACACAGGCAGUGCCCCAAAAUCUGCAAACAUCUCCGUGGGAAGCAAAGAAGGAGCCUGGCUUGUUCCACACUGGAUUCCAGCAGAAGAACACAUCAGCAUUUGGGAAACAUCACUGCCUCCAAAAAGGAGUCCAUGGCCUGGACACAGGACUUUCUCUUCCACUCUCACACUGAAAGGGGGAGAAUGAAGAAACAUUUUAAUCAAUUCACCAGGGUACCUGUCCAUGAACCAACCUGCAUCCUUUGAAACACGUGACUAAAAUGAUUUUUUCCUAAUUGAGAAUGACUUUAACUGGGCUAUAAUCAAAUUUGUAAGUGCACCCUACCAACACAGAUAUAAGUCCUUGAGCCUGGUAGAAAUAAUCUGAUAAGAUUAGGUCCUGCAUAGGAAAAAUCUCUUUGGAUCAUAACCAGAAAACGUUUGGACAAAAGUGAACUGAUCCUUGCCUUGCCUGUUAGCAGAUUAUUUACUGAGCCCGGGGCUUCCUUGUUCUUCUGACGUAAACUUCCUCAGGGUAAAGGCAGGGAAAACAUUUUCCAGGGAAAACGUGUCUGGUGUAAUUCCACAAACAAAGCAGUAAACAGGGACUGCAAAUGCAGGGAGCCACCUCCUGGCAGCUGCGGGGAACGAGGAGCACUCGGCAAGGGCCAAACCUGCCUCUCCCUGCAAAUGUUCAGCUAUAAAACCUGCAUGUGUGUCACGUCAACUGCACCAACAUCAUCUCCUCUGGACAGUUUGGCAACACAGAAUGUGCUGCUGUUCUGCCCAGUACCCAAAUUCUGCGGGAUUAAUGGGAAACCAGAGAUUUAAGGAGUGAGGACUCUCCAAAUUCCUUGACUCUCUCCUUCACAUCCCUGUUAUUUCCUUUCCAGACCCACAGAACUGAACCAGCCUUUCCAGAGACUUCACAUGGUAUUUGAUGGCAGCUUCAUUUCUGCUUUACUCUGUCCUGGCAAAUUCAUUUUAAGAUUUCUCCGCAUCAAAAGGUGGGUUCAGGAAAUUAAAUCUCCCCAGAAAAGGACUCAAAGUCUUCCCAACUGAACUUCCAUUAAUUCCUGCUCGUGUUUAUCAUUUUUGUAGUUGAUGUUUCUGCCCUGAGCACAGCUCUCCACCUUUCCCAGUUCAACACUCUAGAAAUGGCAUUAAUGUGUUUUAUUUCCUCUUGCAUAACUAGGAUCUAACAUUAAGGGUAGCCUGGGCACAGACUUUUCCAAGUAUCCUACUGAAGCCUCCUCUUCCUUACCCUAAUACUGGGAUAAAGGAAAUCUGGAUUUGGAGGCACUGAAUGGUACAAGCAGAAGUUUGCUGGCUAAUUUGGGGGAGACAAGCACAUCAGAGCAAUCCAGCUCCUGCUGCCCUUCCACCCUCACUGCUGCUUGACAGGAUGCACAAAUUCACAGCCUGAAUUCCCAUGUUUUCCCCUUUUCUUGUUCUAGAGUCUCUCUUUACCUGAUAGGCUACUCCCACAAAAACUGGAGUUAUUUAACAUCUCUGAGGGUCUGCAAUCUUGAAUGGCAGAGCAGUUUCAAAACUUUCCAGAGGGAAACAAAUCACAGAUGGCUUACUUCCCUAGGAAGUGAAACUAAAAAUAAACAAGUAUAAAUUC